UACAGGGGGGGCAAGCGUUGUUCGGAAUUACUGGGCGUAAAGGGCUCGUAGGUGGCCAACUAAGUCAGACGUGAAAUCCCUCAGCUUAACUGGGGAACUGCGUCCGAUACUGGAUGGCUUGAGUUUGGGAGAGGGAUGCGGAACUCCAGGUGUAGCGGUGAAAUGCGUAGAUAUCAGGAGGAACACCGGUGGCGAAGGCGGAUCUCUGGGCCUUACCUGACGCUGAGGCGCGAAAGCUAGGGGAGCGAACAGG
rnacentral:rRNA from 1 species